UCCGGUCACGAUAUGAAUUGCAAAAA
rnacentral:piRNA from 1 species